CCGUGCAGCCGGGGAGAUAGCGGUGCCCUGUACCUGCAAUCCGCUACAGCAGGGGUCAUGCCGAACCGAGGCCGUUUCUCUGCGGAGCAGCCCUUCACAAGUGAUGUUGACGUCUGGGUCCCUCGCAACAGGAUCCUGUGAACCGUGUCAGGGUGGGAACACAGCAGCACUAAGCAGAUCAUUCUGUGUGCCGCGGGAUCGCCUGGAUCGAGUUAACUAUGAAGGUACCGUCCGUGGGGAGCCGUCGAAGCGAGGCGCACGG
rnacentral:SRP_RNA from 1 species